rnacentral:tRNA from 1 species
GUGGGGGUAUUUCAGGCGUAGAAUCAUAGAUUGCAAUUCGACUUUAUCGUCGAGCAUCUAUCUAUUUGUCGUGGGUUCAAAUCCCACUCUCCACU